GUCGUUUUAGUAUUUUGAUGCAAAAAAAUAUGAACUUUUUUUUUCAGUUUAUUUUUUUAUUGGUUGAAAUAUAGUUAUGUGUAUAAAUAAUAAUUUUUUCUAUGAAAAUAUACAAAGUUAAAUGUUUUCUUAAUUUGUGUGUAUAAAUUUAAAGUAACAUUUAAUAUGAAACAAAUAGAAUUAUUAUUUUAGUUAAGCAAUUGAUUGACUGUAUCGAGUCAUGCAACUUAGUCGAGUCAUAAAACUUGUCAAAUGUUUUCGACUUGCAGGCUUUACUUCUCCUCGUUAUUAUUUGAAGAUCUUUCCGUGUUCACAAUAAUUUAUUUACUCACACUACUUGGAACAAUAUAUUAUCGUAACCAAUAACAUAUGCAAGUUCUGACAUACUCCUCCGAUUAGAUGUCUAAAGCGUUGCCUAAGUGUCAUAACUAACUUGCAUAGUAAUCAUAACAUACACUGUUUUUAAGAAAUGCAUAUUCUAACUUUUUACAUAUAUUAAGAAAAUUAAUUAAUUAAUUUUUCAUAAUUUUUAACUAAUAGAAAUUCAAUAAAUACCAUUAAUUUUUUUUUUAAUUUAUAAUUUUUUAUAAAAUUAUAUAUUAAAAAAGUAAAAAAUAUAUCUUUUUAAAACAAUUUUUUUUUCCAAAACGUACAUCAACAAACGGAGUAUCUGCGAUAUCUUUCUUUACAGUUAAGGUUCUUGACUUAUAAUUAACCGACUAUGUUUCACAUCUUCUGCAAUAAGUUUCCUCCUCCCCCCCCCUUCCCCCCCCCCCCCCCCCCCCCCCAAAAAAGAGUUCAACCAGCUGGUCUCGAGAAACGAGCAAACCAGAGGGAUUCGUUAGCCAUAGCACAAAACGAUAAGGCAGGUGGCAAUAGUGAAUACGUGGAAGGAGAUGAGACAGGUUAGGUUUGGUGGUGACAGUUUUUUACUUGGGCGGGAAGAAUAAGGCGGGAAAGUGGGACCUGCAGAGUGGCAGGCGGCUAAAUGGCGAGAAAAGAGUCACGCGCCACCGUUUGCGUGACCCACUUAUCUUCUUUUUUUUUUUCCGUAAAAAAACAAUUCUAUUACUCAAACCUGAAGUUAUCUAGAUAACUAAACUAGAAAUAAAACAACAUUUUUUUUCUCUAUAAAUCCCAACUUUAUUUUUAUUUUCUUAUGUAAACAUCCAUCUUUUCGAGUCAAUUUCUUUAACUUCCUUAUAUUUUGUAUGUUUUUGUUGAGAUACAUUUUCACUUAAAUUGAAAUUAACUGUUUUGGAAAUAUAUAUAUAUAUAGUUUUUGAAGUACAAUAAUUUUACUUUAUGUUUUUUUUUUAACUUAAAUUAAAUUUUACUUUAUAUUUUCAGUAGAAACUUACACUAUUGAACUUAAAUUUUAUAUUGUGUCUUGUACUCAAACUGUUAAACUAUAUAUUUCCUCUGUUUUAUAAAUGUUAUCCUAACAUUUUUUUAUUACAUAAAAAUAUAACUUUAGAAUUUUAAUACAAAUUUUACAUAUUUUUAUUUUAAAAUUAAUUUCAAAAUGCAUUGAUUUUAUAAAUAAUUUUAUUUUAUUUCAAAAAUUAUUGGUCAAACAUGUAUAGUUAACAAAAAAAAAAAUUAUAUUUCAGUUUUUUUUUAAUUUGAUGAAAAAUGUCAAAAUGACACUUAUUUAAAAAUAAAGAGAGAGUAUUUUUUCAUAUUGGUAUUAAAUUUAUAGUCAAUGAUUUUUUCCAAAUUCUUAGCAUAACUUUAAAACAUUAUAUAUUUAUUUAGAUACAAUAACUAAGAUCUCUUGUUUGUAUUAUAAAAACAAAAUUUUUUUUAAUAUUUAUAUUUUGUAUCUUAUUAUCUUUGUUUUCUAAUUGUUUAUUUCAGAAAAUUUUGUUUUAAUCAUCUGUUAAUUCUUGGUUGUAGUUUUGCUUUAAUAUUUUGUUGAGUUUAGUUAACUUGAGUUUAUUGAAAAAUCAGUCGAGUUAUUUUAUUUUAUUUUAUUUGAUCUUGAUAAAUAACAUCCUGAAUGGAAUAUCUUUUUAUUCUUAAUUUUACUCAUAUGUUCUUAAAAAUUAUUUAUUUUAUUAUACUAUAUAUUUUAUUGAUUUCUAUUUUAAUUGUUUUCUAUUACUAUUCUUAUUUUCAAACUAUUUCAAAAAUAUAUAUUUUACUAUGUAUUCAUUUUUGGUUUUUGAGACUUUGUUGAUAAGUUUCCUGAUCUUAUCUCCAACUUUUCUCAUGGGAAACACGUUUGUCCUAUUUUCUACACUCUUUCUUGCUUUUCAGUUUUAAAUAUUGUAUUGUUUCUCCUAUGCUUGUAGACUCUGUUUCUCCUAUGUAUUUAUUUUCAAAUGACAAUUGUGUGAGCAAGAAGAUACACAGUUUUUUUUUUUUGCUAAAACAGAAGAUACACAGUAUUGAAGAAGGUAAUUAACUUUGUAUUUAUUAACGUUUAUGCGAUAAAAUAUUCAUUGUCUUUGUAGACUCAAUUUAGUUAUUUUGGAACAUAUAUUUUUCUCUCUCCUCUCUCCCUUAUCCUCUCGCGACAAAAACAAACCAACCAAGUUUUCAGAUCUGCUCUGGCGUUGUCCGGCGCGUUCGCGCGCGUCCGGCCGCCGGAGGCUUCCCUCCUUCUUUCUCUGUUUUCCUCUUUGCUUCCCGGUCACUCCCCUCCGCUGUUGCUUUGUUUCGGGCUCUGGUCAAGCGUCUCUUGUUGAUUCCGGUGACCGCUCGCGAGGUUCGUCGGAGUUUGCUAUCGAUUCAGCUUGUGUUGGAGUCAAGACGCGGUGGUGUGCAGUGGAUUUGGCUGUGGAGUCGGAUUUUUCGUGGCUGAGAGAGAGGAUUGCGUUUCCCCUUUUAAUCUCUCUCUGGCGACCUUCUUGCUCGGGAUGAUGGGGUUGGAGCGCUCCCCGGUUGGCUGUGGCGUGGCUACAGCGUUUCUCUGGUUGUGGCGUGCGGCUUCUUCGUUUGGAACCGGGAACCCUUACGGUGUCGUCGGGGUUCGUCUCCUCUUCGUUGGAGCCAAGGUCAGCUCCGGUGGUGGCUUCACUUCGGAGGUGAGGCGCGGUCUGGUAUGCAGGCGGGAUGAUGGUACCUGACCGAUUCCGACUCGUGUGGGAGUGCUGAGCAGAGUCCUACCCGGUCGUCUAUGGCCGGUUCAAGCUCUUUUUUUGUAUUUCACCUGACCUUUCAAUUUCAACAUCUCGUCAUCGGCUUGAUACCUUGGUUUGGUUGCGGCAGUUUCUAAUUCUAAGGUUGUUCUCUUGAGCUCUAUUCAUAUCACCGUAGACACCGGUGGUUAUUUUGCGAGUCACGGUCACUGCUUCUUCGGUUUUCGAAGGCGGCAAGAGACGUCCCGACUUUCGUCAUGGUCGCGGCGGUGUCCCUCUUGUGCUUAGCUCACAUCCCAGUACCGGAGAAGAUCACUUGAUUCUUCAUCGGUAGUGUUGCUUGGCUGACAUUUGUGCUAGUCGUUAGAGUCUUCUCUGUCGGUGUGUGGCAUGGAGGUCCGGCCCUUUUGGUAGUACAGGUUUGGUGGCGGCAGUAGCGAGCUCUUGCUCGGGUUGGGAGAUGGUUUCAAGCGUUGUGUGACGUUGCGUACUAGCUCGGCUUUGGUGGCUUGCAAGGCUCGUGGUAAGUAUCCGAAACACUCCCCUAUUAGUCGUCUUGCGCUUCAUUGUCAGUAACGGUUACAAACUCGGUGGAGUUCAUCGGAAGCUAGCUACUCCGGAGACGACGCGGGAAGUCCCGGCAUCCGAGGCAACAAGGAGAACCUCACCUUCUCUUGAUUCUCGUCGAUGGUAGAGAACGGCAACCGAUUUCAAAGGAAACCGAUAAACGGACUAGCGGAAUGUGCCGGGUUUAGUGGGCGGGCGAAGCUAGUGUUGUAAUAGGUUGAUUUUGGAAAUUUUGUUCGAAACGGGUUUGUAACUGGAUCUGAAAUUCCCGAUUCUCGGG
rnacentral:lncRNA from 1 species